rnacentral:rRNA from 1 species
UACAGAGGGUGCGAGCGUUAAUCGGAAUUACUGGGCGUAAAGCGUGCGCAGACGGUCAUGUAAGUCGGGUGUGAAAGCCCCGGGCUCAACCUGGGAAUUGCAUUCGAGACUGUGUGGCUAGGGUGCGGAAGAGGGAAGCGGAAUUUCCGGUGUAGCGGUGAAAUGCGUAGAUAUCGGAAGGAACACCUGUGGCGAAAGCGGACUCACUGGACCACAACUGACGCUGAGGCGCGAAAGCUAGGGAGCAAGCA